GUAGGAUAUGGACAGAUGCUGGCUGAACAGUAGAUAUAGGACAGAUAUAGCCUCUGAACAGUAGGAUAUAGGACAGAUAUAGCCUCUGAAACAGUAGGAUAUAGGACAGAUGCUGGCUGAACAGUAGGAUAUAGGACAGAUAUAGCCUCUGAACAGUAGGAUAUAGGACAGAUAUAGCCUCUGAACAGUAGGAUAUAGGACAGAUGCUGGCUGAACAGUAGAAUAUGGACAAUGAUAUAGCCUCUGAACAGUGGAUAUAGGAAGAUGCUGGCUGACACAGUAGGAUAUAGGACAGAUAUAGCCUCUGAACAGUGUAUGUUCCCUAUAUGCAUGUAUUAUAGUGGAUUUGUUUGCUGACUUCACAAAAUAAAUGUCCAUGUAAAUGGCUAGGUCUAAAUGUCGAUGUAAAUGGGCUAGGUCUAAAUGGGCUAGGUCUAAAUGGGCUAGGUCUAAAUGGGCUAGGUCUAAAUGGGCUAAGUCUAAAUGGGCUAGGUCUAAAUGGCUAGGUCUAAAUGUCCAUGUAAAUGGGCUAAGUCUAAAUGGGCUAGGUCUAAAUGUCAGUGUAAAUGGGCUAAGUCUUAAUG
rnacentral:lncRNA from 1 species